UACAGAGGGUGCGAGCGUUGUUCGGAAUUACUGGGCGUAAAGCGCGCGCAGGCGGCCUUUUAAGUCUGCUGGUGAAAUGCCGGGGCUCAACCCCGUGCCCGCCACAGAUACUGGGAGGCUGGAGACAUGUAGAGGCAAGCGGAAUUCCGGGUGUAGCGGUGGAAUGCGUAGAGAUCCGGAAGAACACCGGAGGCGAAGGCGGCUUGCUGGGCAUGGUCUGACGCUGAGGCGCGAAAGCGUGGGGAGCAAACAGG
rnacentral:rRNA from 1 species